ensembl:snRNA RNU6-1175P RNA, U6 small nuclear 1175, pseudogene
GUGCUCGCUUCGGCAGCACGUAUACUAAAAUUGGAAUGAUACAGAGAAGAUUAGUAUGGCCCCUGCGCAAAGAUGACACGCAAAUUCAUGAAGCAUUCCAUAUUUAA